UACGUAGGGGGCUAGCGUUGUCCGGAAUCAUUGGGCGUAAAGAGCGUGUAGGCGGUCCGGUAAGUCCGCUGUGAAAGUCGGGGGCUCAACCCUCGAAUGCCGGUGGAUACUGUCGGGCUAGAGUGCGGAAGAGGCGAGUGGAAUUCCUGGUGUAGCGGUGAAAUGCGCAGAUAUCGAGAGGAACACCUGCGGCGAAGGCGGGUUGCUGGGCCGACACUGACGCUGAUGCGCGAAAGCCAGGGGAGCGAACGGG
rnacentral:rRNA from 1 species